CUUUGAGCGGACACCUUUGGGGGUAGAGCACUGUUUCGGCUAGGGGUCCAUCCCGGAUUACCAACCCGAUGCAAACUACGAAUACCAAAGAGUGAUACUCAGGAGACACACGGCGGGUGCUAACGUCCGUCGUGGAGAGGGAAACAACCCAGACCGCCAGCUAAGGUCCCAAAGUCUAUAUUAAGUGGGAAACGAAGUGGGAAGGCUUAGACAGCUAGGAUGUUGGCUUAGAAGCAGCCAUCAUUUAAAGAAAGCGUAAUAGCUCACUAGUCGAGUCGGCCUGCGCGGAAGAUGUAACGGGGCUCAAAUAUAGCACCGAAGCUGCGGCAUCAGACGUAAGUCUGUUGGGUAGGGGAGCGUUCUGUAAGCGGAUGAAGGUUAAUCGAGAGGUUAGCUGGACGUAUCAGAAGUGCGAAUGCUGACAUAAGUAACGAUAAAACGGGUGAAAAACCCGUUCGCCGGAAGACCAAGGGUUCCUGUCCAACGUUAAUCGGGGCAGGGUGAGUCGGCCCCUAAGGCGAGGCUGAAAAGCGUAGUCGAUGGGAAACGGGUUAAUAUUCCCGUACUUGGAUAAACUGCGAUGUGGGGACGGAGCAGGUUAGGUUAUCGCACUGUUGGAUAUGUGCGUUUAAGUUUGUAGGUGUGAAGUUUAGGCAAAUCCGGACUUCUUUAACACUGAGAGAUGAUGACGAGGCUCUACGGAGCUGAAGUAACCGAUACCACACUUCCAGGAAAAGCCACUAAGCUUCAGGUUUAUCUAAACCGUACUGAAAACCGACACAGGUGGUCAGGUAGAGAAUACUCAGGCGCUUGAGAGAACUCGGGUGAAGGAACUAGGCAAAAUAGCACCGUAACUUCGGGAGAAGGUGCGCCGGCGUAGAUUGUAGUCCCUUGCGGGCGAAGGUUGAACCGGUCGAAGAUACCAGCUGGCUGCAACUGUUUAUUAAAAACACAGCACUCUGCAAACACGAAAGUGGACGUAUAGGGUGUGAUGCCUGCCCGGUGCUGGAAGGUUAAUUGAUGGUGUAAUCGAAAGAGAAGCUCCUGAUCGAAGCCCCAGUAAACGGCGGCCGUAACUAUAACGGUCCUAAGGUAGCGAAAUUCCUUGUCGGGUAAGUUCCGACCUGCACGAAUGGCAUAAUGAUGGCCAGGCUGUCUCCACCCGAGACUCAGUGAAAUUGAAAUCGCCGUGAAGAUGCGGUGUACCCGCGGCUAGACGGAAAGACCCCGUGAACCUUUACUAUAGCUUGACACUGAACAUUGAAUUUUGAUGUGUAGGAUAGGUGGGAGACUUAGAAGUAGUCACGCCAGUGAUUAUGGAGUCGUCCUUGAAAUACCACCCUUUAACGUUUGAUGUUCUAACGAAGAUUACGAAACGUGGUCUCGGACAGUGUCUGGUGGGUAGUUUGACUGGGGCGGUCUCCUCCCAAAGAGUAACGGAGGAGCACGAAGGUUUGCUAAUGACGGUCGGACAUCGUCAGGUUAGUGCAAUGGUAUAAGCAAGCUUAACUGCGAGACAGACAAGUCGAGCAGGUACGAAAGUAGGUCAUAGUGAUCCGGUGGUUCUGAAUGGAAGGGCCAUCGCUCAACGGAUAAAAGGUACUCCGGGGAUAACAGGCUGAUACCGCCCAAGAGUUCAUAUCGACGGCGGUGUUUGGCAC
rnacentral:rRNA from 1 species